AGGGUAUUCUGAUAAUCAAUUAAUUUAUUCUUAAAAAUUAUAUCAUGCAUAUUACUUUGAAUACAGUAAAUCAAACAUUCAAUAAAAAUUAAUUUUAAUAUAUCUAAUUUCAAUAUAACUUAUUUCAUUAUAAUUAAUUUCAGUAUAACUACAUUUUCAACGCAGCUCUAAAUGGACAAUGAUUCAACAUGUAGCAAAACCUUGGACACAUGUAUAUCAUGCGGCGACCCUUGGUGUUUUGUGCUUUAUAUUCUUAGAAUACAAUAGAAAAACAUUUGAAUGUAACGUAAUCUUCAAACGUAGGACCAACCUUUUUUCACUUUGUCAUCUUCACUUUCUUGUCGGUUAUCCAUCCAUUAUCUCAAUCUUUGACCAUAACAUAAAGAUAUAUGCCAACUUCCACCACCGGUUAGAAUUUUCACUAUCAAGUUUAAACUAUAAAUAAAUAAAAUAUAAAAAGGUCGAAAGGCUAACCUCUAUUAUGUACAUACCAAAUCAUGUAUACAAAAAGGAGAGUAUGUUCCAACUUCCAACCAAACAAAAUUUGAGUGAUCCUACCCCGAUCCAGAAACAACCGACAUCCUUUUCUUUCUUUUCUCAUUCACCUUUUCUCCUUUCAAAUAAAAAUGGUACUCCCCAUGUUCUAUUUUAUGCACAAUCUCUUUAUCAGUCCAUUCUCAAAAAGAAUAUUAUUUUAUUAUAAUUAAAAUAAAAAAGAUAAAAAAUAUCUUUGAAUUAUUUGAAAAUUAUUUAAAAUGAAUUAAAAAUAUUGUUUAUUUAUUUUUGAACUUAAAAAUACCUUCUUUUUUUUUUACUCAAAAAUAUUCCUCCAUUAUAUUUUAAGCCCAGAAACACCCCUCUCUAAUGAAAUACCAUCAAACACGCCAAUCACUUGAUCAGUCCACAUCAAUAUACACAAAUAAAAAAUUGCUCCAUUUAAUCUAUCUAACCAUCAACCCAUUUUUUUAUUUAAAGACCCAACUCCACUCACAUUGAAAAAAAUCUAGCCCCAGAGGAAAAAUAUUGAAGAAUUUGAUUGCUUAUUUUUCAUGUGAUUGGUUCAAAUAUUUUGGAUUGAUCAAGGAGAAAGAUAAGAAAAUAAUUAGGUCCUUAAAUUGUUGAUCCAAAAGAAUCGGAUUUUAAUAGGGUCGAUCAUAAACAAUUGGAUCCUCAAAUAGUUGACCUGAUUUUCAAGAGCUCAGAUUGCUACUAGAUAUGAAUUUGUCUAAUGAGAAAUCUGAUUGUAGUGAGAGGAAUAGUAAUUCAGAGACAACAUUGAAAUUUGAAGAGUGAAAAUUUAGUGGCAAUGUAGGACAACCACAAGUUGAUGAGAUCAAGAAUUUCUCUAGUGAGUCUCGUAAUUUUGAAAAUAUAAAAUAAUAAAAUAUAAGGCGGUGCAAGGGACGAUAUGAGGAAAAUAAUUAAAGAAUUGAAUUUGCCUCUUGAUUCGGAUUUUUUGAAUAUGGAUCGGAUUGAAUUUUUAAAUAGAAUAAAAUGGGUUGAUUCUUAGGUGGAUUAAAUAGAGUGGUUUUUUCACGUGUAUGCUGACGUGGACUAAUUAAGUGACUUUUUUUAUCUGUGUGGUGUAUUUGGUGACAUUCCGUUAGAGAGAAGGGUAUUUUUGAGCCAAAAAAUUAAUGGAGGAGUUUUUUUGAGUCAAAAAAUUAACGGAGAGGUAUUUUUGAGCCCAAAAAAUAAACAGAAGCAUAUUUUUGAAUCAAAAAAUAAACAAAGGUUAUUUUUGAUCCAUUUUGAAUAGUUCAGGAAUAUUUUUUACCCUUUUGUAAUUAAAAAAAAUCACUUAAUCUUUUGUUUUAUUCUUAAUGAAAUAACAAUCACAAAAUAUUUAAAAAUUAUUUUUUGACCAUAAUUUUUUUUAAAAAAAAAAAUAUUAUAUCAAGUCAAAAUAUAGCACAUAAAAUGGGAUCAUUUACUAUUACUUUCUUUUUUGGGUACGUAAAUUUUGUUUCUAUUAAGAAGUUUGUGUUCGAAUUUUCUUCCUCUACUGGCUUAGGAAGUAUUUGUUUGUGUAACGCAUCGAAAAUCCACAGAAACUGAUGAAUCUUACGUUGUCAGUUUUGUUGGAUGUUGGAGCGGUUACGGUUGCUGUUAGGUUUUGUAGAAUAAUUUACUAUUUAGUUGUAGACUUCUAUUUUUCGUUUAAUUUUAAAAGUUAAAGAAAUAAUUUAUUAUUUUAUAUCUAUUAUUUUUAUUAUUAAGAAUUAUUUAUUUUUAAAUAUUUAAAUAAUUUAUACUAAUAACUAGAAGUGAUUAAAAUUAUUAUA
rnacentral:lncRNA from 1 species